rnacentral:rRNA from 1 species
UACGAAGGGGGCUAGCGUUGCUCGGAAUCACUGGGCGUAAAGCGCACGUAGGCGGACUCUUAAGUCGGUGGUGAAAUCCUGGAGCUCAACUCCAGAACUGCCUUCGAUACUGGGAGUCUCGAGUCCGGGAGAGGUGAGUGGAACUGCGAGUGUAGAGGUGAAAUUCGUAGAUAUUCGCAAGAACACCAGUGGCGAAGGCGGCUCACUGGCCCGGUACUGACGCUGAGGUGCGAAAGCUAGGGGAGCAAACGGG